rnacentral:rRNA from 1 species
CCCAUGGCUCAGAUUGAACGCUGGCGGCAGGCCUAACACAUGCAAGUCGAGCGGCAGCACGGGUACUUGUACCUGGUGGCGAGCGGCGGACGGGUGAGUAAUGCCUAGGAAUCUGCCUGGUAGUGGGGGAUAACGCUCGGAAACGGACGCUAAUACCGCAUACGUCCUACGGGAGAAAGCAGGGGACCUUCGGGCCUUGCGCUAUCAGAUGAGCCUAGGUCGGAUUAGCUAGUUGGUGAGGUAAUGGCUCACCAAGGCGACGAUCCGUAACUGGUCUGAGAGGAUGAUCAGUCACACUGGAACUGAGACACGGUCCAGACUCCUACGGGAGGCAGCAGUGGGGAAUAUUGGACAAUGGGCGAAAGCCUGAUCCAGCCAUGCCGCGUGUGUGAAGAAGGUCUUCGGAUUGUAAAGCACUUUAAGUUGGGAGGAAGGGCAGUAAAUUAAUACUUUGCUGUUUUGACGUUACCGACAGAAUAAGCACCGGCUAACU